rnacentral:lncRNA from 1 species
AAACAAAAAAAAACGUAGGUCGGUUUCCCCAAAAUGCAUGUUUAGAUAGUUUAAUUUGUUAGAUUUUCCAUAGUUUUUCCUCUGUUUAUAUUUGUCGUGAUUGCUACCUAAGUUUAUUUGUCUUCAUUUCAUUUCUCAUCAUGCAUCAUAGGCAUUUUAUUAGGAAUGUGUUGAUUAGAGAUUGGUUGCCAAAAACGAAUUUCUGAUGGAGGAGUCAAUUACGUAAGUAAC